GAUGAACGCUAGCGGCAGGCUUAAUACAUGCAAGUCGAGGGGCAGCGCGGGUAGCAAUACCUGGCGGCGACCGGCAAACGGGUGCGGAACACGUACGCAACCUUCCCAAAACUGGUGAAUAGCCCUCCGAAAGGAGGAUUAAUACACCGUACCAUAACGAAGAGGCAUCUCUUUGUUAUUAUAGUAGCAAUACGGUUUUGGAUGGGCGUGCGCCUGAUUAGGUAGUUGGCGGGGUAACGGCCCACCAAGCCUGCGAUCAGUAACUGGUGUGAGAGCACGACCAGUCACACGGGCACUGAGACACGGGCCCGACUCCUACGGGAGGCAGCAGUAAGGAAUAUUGGUCAAUGGACGCAAGUCUGAACCAGCCAUGCCGCGUGAAGGAUGAAGGCCCUCUGGGUUGUAAACUUCUUUUAUCUGGGACGAAAAAAGGGCUUUCUAGCUCACUUGACGGUACCAGAGGAAUAAGCACCGGCUAACUCCGUG
rnacentral:rRNA from 1 species